rnacentral:rRNA from 1 species
AUACGGAGGGUGCGAGCGUUAAUCGGAAUUACUGGGCGUAAAGGGUACGUAGGCGGUUAUGUCAGUCAGAUGUGAAAGCCCCGGGCUUAACCUGGGAACUGCAUUUGAUACUGCAUAGCUAGAGUUUGGUAGAGGAGGGCGGAAUUCCCGGUGUAGCGGUGAAAUGCGUAGAGAUCGGGAGGAACACCAGUGGCGAAGGCGGCUCUCUGGACCAAAACUGACGCUGAGGUACGAAAGCGUGGGUAGCAAACAGGAUUAGAGACCCCGGUAGUCC